rnacentral:rRNA from 1 species
UCGAUAACCGCUGAAAGCAUCUAAGCGGGAAGCGAGCCUUGAGAUGAGUUCUCCCUGAUACUUUAAGUAUCCUAAAGGGUUGUCGUAGACUACGACGUUGAUAGGCAGGGUGUGUAAGCGUUGUGAGGCGUUGAGCUAACCUGUACUAAUUGCCCGUGAGGCUUAACCAUACAACACCCAAGGGGUUU